rnacentral:rRNA from 1 species
AUUGAACGCUGGCGGCAUGCCUUACACAUGCAAGUCGAACGGCAGCGCGGGAGCAAUCCUGGCGGCGAGUGGCGAACGGGUGAGUAAUAUAUCGGAACGUGCCCUGUAGCGGGGGAUAAC